rnacentral:tRNA from 1 species
GGUUUAUAAUGGCAAAAUACUAGUUUUGAAAACUGGUUGGGGACGUUCAAUUCGUUCAUAAACCU